CUCUACCUUCGUGGUCAGAUGUUAUAAACUCAAGGGUUUAUAUCCAGUACAGAAGGGUAAAGGAUCUUGUUUCCGUUGCGAUAGCAAAAAAAUACUAUUUAGCACAAGCCGAGAGUAUCGAUAUUGAGAAAUCCGCAGUGCUU
rnacentral:ncRNA from 12 species